AGGUGCUGCAUGGCUGUCGUCAGCUCGUGUCGUGAGAUGUUGGGUUAAGUCCCGCAACGAGCGCAACCCUCGCCUUUAGUUGCCAGCAUUCAGUUGGGCACUCUAGAGGGACUGCCGGUGUCAAACCGGAGGAAGGUGGGAUGACGUCAAGUCCUCAUGGCCUUUAUGUCUAGGGCUACACACGUACUACAAUGGCCGGUACAAAGGGCAGCCACUCAGCGAUGAGGCGCUAAUCCCAUAAAGCCGGUCUCAGUCCGGAUCGCAGUCUGCAACUCGACUGCGUGAAGUUGGAAUCGCUAGUAAUCGUAGAUCAGCAUGCUACGGUGAAUACGUUCCCGGGCCUU
rnacentral:rRNA from 1 species